GAGACGGAGACAGGUCGCGAUGGAAAUAGAGCAAUUUUGUCUUCAUGAGCUUCGUUGGUUUUCGGUAAAAAGCCCGGCCCUCAGUCAGUCCCUUAGUGAGUUAAUUACAGUUCUACCCAUCAAAGAUUAAAAUCCAAUGGUAGGGAUGGUGUAUCAGGAAGGGUAAUUUUGUUCUCUAAGUUUUGAGCGAAUUAGGGGGUAGCCGGGUAGGUUUGCAUUUGUUGUCAUUCAAUGAGGGUUUCGGGGAUGGAGGCUCUGAGAUAGAGAGGAGGCUCUAAGAUAGAGAGAGAGAGAGAGAGAGAGAAGGGGGAGGGAGACAAACAGAGAUGGAGAUAGAUCGCAAUAGAAAGAGAGCAAGGGGGAGGGGUAGGGGUCUCAGUGUCGUUGCUGCAGAUGGAUUUCACAAGUGGCAGAGUGAGGAUGGUCUGAGAAAUAUAGGGGUCGUUAGGAUUUGAGAAAGAGGGGUAGGGGUCACGAACAAAGACAACUGAGGGUGAUGUGUGCCGGAUCUUGCGUUGCAUGCUAGGAUUUCCAAAGAUAAGUUCGUUUUUUAAAUUCAAUUCUUUAUUGUUAGCUUAGAUUGUCAACAUUUCUGCCUUUUUACUGUGAAUUAUUUUCGAAUUUUUUAGUACUGUUAGGUCAGGUUUUGGGGGAUGGAUGUAUCUCUAUUUAUUCCCUUAUUUGUUUCAUUUUCUCUCGUUUUGGGGAUUCAUCUCUCUGUUCUGUGUAUUUGUUCUUUGUUUUAAGGUCAAUUGUUUUUUUUUUUUUUUUGGGGUUUUUUUUGUGAUUUUCAGUUCGUUAAUUUGUGACUUUAUGUUUAGAUUUUUCGUUCUUAUAUGAUCAAAUCAGUAUUGGGUUUUGGUUGUUGCAAGGGUAACAGAGAACCCUAAACUCCCAGAAAUCGGUAUUUUCAUUUGUAUUAAUGAAUUUCCAUUUUCUCUUCCAAAAUAAUUUGUUAAAUGGAAAUUGUUUUCUUUUUGCUAAAGGUGGUGCAGAAAUUGGAUUUACAUCAAAUUUCACUCUUAGGAGAAGCCAAAUAAGUUAUAUGCAUCAUCUACAUCAGGUUAAUUAAAUGAAAUCAAAUCAAAUUCCCCUACUUUAUCAUGAUUUCUCAAGAAAAUAUCAGUAUGCAAAACUGUUGUUUGUAAGAGAACAUUACCCUCUAUAUCUAUAUACCAUUAUAUGCAUCAUAUAUGCAUAUGAAGUAACUUAGAAAUGAAAGACACACAGCCAGUGUGUCAUGUGCGUGUCUUACAAAAAGAGAGACAUUGAGAGAAAUAGCUUAAUUUGAAACGAUCCAGGAAGAAUAUAAAUGAAGAUUUUGUAUGGGUUCAAACAAUCAUCAUAGGUUAUGUUCCAACUGACUGAUGUUGCAACAGAUACCUAAUGCCUUCUAUAUUAUUGUCCGAGUGGGAAAGUGUUUUUUUGUUGAGGUAAAUGAACCAUACUAAUGCAAACAGAAUGAAAAUUAAAAGCCUUUAACUAAAAUGGAUGGGUUAGGAUUUUUAAUGGAAAAGACAUUUAGCUAAUGUUCACUUGCACUUUCUCAAGAACAAUGCCCUCUGUGUUGGAAGCGCGAAGGAUUCGUAUUAAUGAAUUUCCAUUUUCUCUCCCAAAACAAUUUGUUAAUUGGAAAUUGUUUUCUUUCUGCUGAAAGGUGGCGCAAAAAUUGAAUUUACAUCACAACAAAGAAAAGCAAAAGGCUUUGAAAGCAAUCUCCGGCCUUAUAGGUAUCAGUUAUUUUUUUUAAGCAUGUUGGCUUAAUUUGGCUCUAUGAAAAACUUGAAACUCAUUCAUCAACAUCUACUGAGUUCUUUGUAUUGGUUGAGAAACUCUCUUUGAAGAGAAUGGAUUGGAGCUUGGUUUUUAGCCAUGGUUUCAGGCACAUUCUUCAAAAUAGGACUAAAUGGAAAAGAAAAUUUGUCCAGUUUUAUGUUUUUAUAUCAGUCUACUUCUAUGAAAAAAUAUGAAUGAGUUGUCAAUUAAUAAUUGAGGCUGAGAUAAAGAAGGCCUUUCUCACCUUUGAUGCAGGGCGGACAACAAAAAUAUUUUUCCGUCUCUCUGUGCCUGAUUUUUAUUUUUUUAUUUUUUUUAUUUUUUUUAUUUUUUUUUUUGGGGGGGGUGGAGUGUUUGGUUGCCGGAUUUGAUUUGUUUUUUUCUUUCAGGAAAAGCUGGGGUUCGAAUUUUGGGGUUUUUGCAUACAAGAUUGGAAGCCCUUUCUUAUCAAGAUAUAUAAUUUCUGUUUUUCUUAUUAUAUCGUUUGUUGAACAAAUUUAAAUGUUUUGGGGUCCUGUUCCAUUUGUACAUCCGUUUUCUGUAAAUUUUUUAUUUUGUUCCUGCGUUUGGAUAUUGAGUGUAGCUGUAGUUUUUUUGUGCUUUUGUGUGUAGGCUUCCAAGCUUUUUGUGCUUGGGCUAUAUAAUUUCAGAUUUUCCUUUUGAUUUUUCUUAUUUAUACCCUUAUUUGUUUCAUUUUCUCUCAUUUUGGGGAUUCUUCUCUCUAUUAUGUAUUUGUUGUUUGUUUUAAGCUUAGUUGCCUUUCGUUUCUUUUGUGGGUUUUCAAUUUGUUAAUUUGUGACUUUGUGUUUAGAUUUUUCUUUCGUAUGUGAUUAAAUCGGUAUUGGGUUGUUGAAAAUAUUAUUUUUUUCUGCUUAAGCUUCUUGCUCAUUUUUCUGGGAUUUUAGGCUUUUGGUUGCAAGGGUAACAGAGAACCCUAAAAUCCCAAAAAUCAGUAUUGGCAUUUGAAUUAAUGAAUUUCCAUUUUCUUUCCCAAAACAAUUUGUUAAUUGAAAAUUGUUUUCUUUCUGCUGAAGGUGGUGCUGAAAUUGGAUUUACAUAAUGACAAGGAAAAGCAAAAGGUGUUGAAAGCAGUCUCCACCUUACAGAUAUCAAUUACUUUUUUAAGGAGAUGCAAUUCAAGCAACCAUGAAACCCUAGGACAUCCGAUUCUUUUUGGAGCGUCUAAAAGUUGGAUUCGGGUAUGAGAUAGAUAAAUUUCGUGUUAUCUACAACAAGACAUCAAGCAAAAUUGUCCUUCAUGAUGUCAUGGUUGAGUUGAACAAAAACACUUCCAUAGUCCCUGUUGAGAAGCCAAAUCAAGUGAUCCCGAUGCAUUGGUUUAAUUUAAUUGAAUUUGAUGAGCUUCAUAAGAAAGUCAAUAGAGAUGUAAACCUCACAGAUGUUUUUUUGUUGUUUGAUGGCUUUACAACCGAUUGAGAACAUGACUGUGCAAAAUAUCAAAGUUGAGAAAAAGCGAGACCUCCAACUUCAAAAUAAUAGAGGUGAACAAGUUACAGUGACCCUAUGGGCAAAAACUACAACAAGCUUUUAAGAGGAUGCAUUGCAGUCGCUUUCGCUGCCUGUCUUUGUUGUUUUGACUUUACUCAAAGUGAAGCAAUACAAAGGUUAUACCUUAAGAAUGUCUAUACGUGAUCACUUUACUUUUGUGUUUAUAAUUGUUGUUAUCUUUAUAUUUAUAGGAAAUCCUAUUAUGGAGAGCAUAGAAUGAAAAGUUUGUAUUCUCAAUCCUAAUAUCCUACAACUUUCAUAAUAUAAACAAGAGUGAGUGUAACGUUCCGUCCCGAAAUAAUUAUUUCGGAAAAUAAUAUCGGUGAUAGGCCCCCAAA